AGUCUUAAGCAAUUUAAUAUUUAAGAUGUAAUCUGCUCAGUGAUUUUUUAACAGCCGCAGUACUUUGACUGUGCUAAGGUAGCAUAAUAAAUUGGCUUUUAAUUAAGGUCUAGAAUGAAUGGGAGUAUGAAAAGUGACUGUCUAUAUAAAACUAUAUAAAAUUUACUUAUUAGGUGAAAAUACCUAUAAAUUUUACAUAAGACGAGAAGACCCUAAGAAUUAUUAUAAUAAAUAUUUUAUUAAUAUCUUAUUUUUGUUGGGGCAACAUAAUUGGAAUUUUAACCAAUUUAUAUAUUUAUUUUUAAGACAAAUAUUUUAAGAAAAAUUUUAAUUACCUUAGGGAUAACAGCAUAAUUAGAAUAUUAGAUUGUGACCUCGAUGUUGGAUUAAGGGCUUUAAUUAUUAGCCAUAAUUAAAGAUAGUUCUGUUCGAACUUAAUACCUU
rnacentral:rRNA from 1 species